rnacentral:rRNA from 1 species
UACGUAGGGUGCAAGCGUUAAUCGGAAUUACUGGGCGUAAAGCGUGCGCAGGCGGUUCGGAAAGAAAGAUGUGAAAUCCCAGGGCUUAACCUUGGAACUGCAUUUUUAACUGUCGAGCUAGAGUGCGUCAGAGGGGGGUGGAAUUCCGCGUGUAGCAGUGAAAUGCGUAGAGAUGCGGAGGAACACCGAUGGCGAAGGCAGCCCCCUGGGAUGACACUGACGCUCAUGCACGAAAGCGUGGGGAGCAAACAGG